rnacentral:lncRNA from 1 species
UUUACGUUCAGUGAAGUGGUAAUACGGUUUCCAUCCACACGCUGUAGCGCCAGCUCCCGCCUGACUGUCUGCGUAAAGCUCGGCGAAUCUCAAGUGGACCGAGAGGAAUUGGUUCAGUAAAGUGAGAGUGCGAUGAGGAGAGGAGCCAGAGAGUGAGGCGAUGGGCUGCACCUCUGCUAAGCAGGUGUCGGCCGUGCCCAGCGAUGAGGAGGGCCGGGGCAAGGCCUACAGCAACGGAGACCUCUUCACCGACGAGUACAAGAUGAAGGGAGUGGAGGAGGUGAAGUACAUGCGUGGAGAGGAGGACCGGGUGAACGCACGCAACCAGGAGAACCUGCACCAAGGCUCCAGCAGCAGGGGUAGGCAGCCUGUCUCUUCCCAGCACCAAGGCUCCAGCAGCAGGGGUAGGCAGCCUGUCUCUUCCCAGCACCAAGGCUCCAGCAGCAGGGGUAGGCAGCCUGUCUCUUCCCAGCCUUAGGGCCACAGCUGGGCCUGGUAACUCUUACCUCCCGCCACAGACCUGUCAGUCCCCUUAACCAUAAGGACACACAACACAGCAGGGGACGGAUGUUUCCAACCUUAGGGCCCUGGCUGGUAGGGCAGGGAGAUGUUCUCCCCCCAGGCCUGCUACAUGGGCAGAUUGGGGUUCGGGGGGCUCUGUGUAUAGUGUCGGGGGUCAGAACUAUGAGCUGAUCUGUGUGUUUCAGGAGAAGACCUCUUUACAGUACAGGGGGAAACCGCACAAAGAAGGCUCUGGAGCCAACGCCAACAGGACAAAUAUCCACACAUCAGAGAGCCAGCAGGAGUUCUUCAGGAUGUUGGAUGAGAAGAUUGAGAAGGGACUGGACUACUGUUCAGAGGAAGAAGAGGCAGAGGAUGGGACAUAGCAAACAAGGCCUGACUCAACCCCCUACAGAGAGCCUCCCAGAGUGUGUGCGAGUGCAUGUUCGUCUGAAUCAGUGUGUGUAUGUUCCACUGCCUUUGUAUGUGAUUCUGUAUGUGUCUGUGUGAGCAUGUAGGUUUUUGGUGUGUGAAAGAGCGAUGGAUAGCUAUUCUCAAAGACUGUUGCCCCCCUCUUGGCUGUCGUCCCAUUGGGCCCCUGAGUGGAUUACUGGAGGGAGAGACGAACGAGGAGACAUACAGACAGACAUGUGGACUCACUACCCUGCAGGACUAUGGAGAGAUGCACAUGGAGACAGACAAACGGACAUGUGGACUCACUGCCCUGCAGGACUAUGGAGAGACCCUCCCCUCUAUCCCAACUACCACCCCAGUGAACUGUACUGUGGUCCCUGGUCCAGCUUUGUGUAUACCACCCCCUCAUCACUACAACAUGGAGAAGGAGGACGGACAGAGGAAGAAUGAGCCUUACGGCAGUCUGGGAGACACCCUCCUGGCUUCCACCCUCCAUGGCCCUGACUACUGUGCUUUGCCUGUGAGGAGCAGAGAUGUGGAUAGAGAAAGAGGGGUGCUGGGGAGGGGGUGGUACUUCCAUAACCCCCAUCACAGAGGCUCGCUGCUGCAGUGGGCCAGAGAGGAUCCGAGAGAGGGAAGGGGUAGGG